rnacentral:rRNA from 1 species
UAAGGAAUAUUGGACAAUGGAGGCAACUCUGAUCCAGCCAUGCCGCGUGAAGGAAUAAGGCCCUAUGGGUUGUAAACUUCUUUUAGACGGGACAAAACCCCUUUACGUGUAAAGGGUUGAUGGUACUGUCAGAAUAAGCAUCGGCUAACUUCGUGCCAGCAGCCGCGGUAAUACGAAGGAUGCAAGCGUUAUCCGGAAUUAUUGGGUUUAAAGGGUGCGUAGGCGGACUAAUAAGUCAGUGGUGAAAGCCUGCAGCUUAACUGCAGAAUUGCCAUUGAUACUUUUAGUCUUGAGUACAGUUGAGGUAGGCGGAAUGUGUCAUGUAGCGGUGAAAUGCUUAGAUAUGACACAGAACACCGAUUGCGAAGGCAGCUUGCUAAGCUGUAACUGACGCUGAGGCACGAAAGCGUGGGGAGCAAACA